GCUUUUGGUGAGGUGCCGCCCGAGUUCCCUGGAACGGGACGCCACAGAGGGUGAGAGCCCCGUCUGGCUGGCCACCGAGCCUCUGUAAAGCUCCUUCGACGAGUCGAGUAGUUUGGGAAUGCUGCUCAAAAUGGGAGGUAUAUGUCUUCUAAAGCUAAAUAUUGGCCAGAGACCGAUAGCGCACAAGUAGAGUGAUCGAAAGAUGAAAAGCACCUUGAAAAGAGGGUUAAACAGUACGUGAAAUUGUUGAAAGGGAAGCGCUUGUGACCAGACUUGGGCGCGGCGGAUCAUCCGGGGUUCUCUCCGGUGCACUUCGCCGCGUUCAGGCCAGCAUCAGUUCGUCGCGGGGGAAAAAGGCUUCGGGAACGUGGCUCCUCCGGGAGUGUUAUAGCCCGUUGCAUAAUACCCUGCGGUGGACUGAGGACCGCGCAUCUGCAAGGAUGCUGGCGUAAUGGUCACCAGCGACCCGUCUUGAAACACGGACCAAGGAGUCGUCUUCGUAUGCGAGUGUUCGGGUGUCAAACCCCUACGCGUAAUGAAAGUGAACGCAGGUGAGAGCUUCGGCGCAUCAUCGACCGAUCCUGAUGUUCUCGGAUGGAUUUGAGUAAGAGCAUACGGGGCCGGACCCGAAAGAAGGUGAACUAUGCCUGUAUAGGGUGAAGCCAGAGGAAACUCUGGUGGAGGCUCGCAGCGGUUCUGACGUGCAAAUCGAUCGUCAAAUAUGGGCAUGGGGGCGAAAGACUAAUCGAACCUUCUAGUAGCUGGUUUCCGCCGAAGUUUCCCUCAGGAUAGCAGUGUUGAGCUCAGUUUUAUGAGGUAAAGCGAAUGAUUAGGGACUCGGGGGCGCUAUAUUGCCUUCAUCCAUUCUCAAACUUUAAAUAUGUAAGAAGCCCUUGUUACUUAGUUGAACGUGGGCAUUCGAAUGUAUCAACACUAGUGGGCCAUUUUUGGUAAGCAGAACGGCGAUGCGGGAUGAACCGAACGCGAGGUUAAGGUGCCAG
rnacentral:rRNA from 1 species